UGCUUCUAUCAAUCUUAGUGGCGAACGGGUGAGUAACGCGUAAUCAACCUGCCCUUCAGAGGGGGACAACAGUUGGAAACGACUGCUAAUACCGCAUACGAUCUAAUCUCGGCAUCGAGGAUAGAUGAAAGGUGGCCUCUACAUGUAAGCUAUCACUGAAGGAGGGGAUUGCGUCUGAUUAGCUAGUUGGAGGGGUAACGGCCCACCAAGGCGAUGAUCAGUAGCCGGUCUGAGAGGAUGAACGGCCACAUUGGGACUGAGACACGGCCCAGACUCCUACGGGAGGCAGCAGUGGGGAAUCUUCCGCAAUGGACGAAAGUCUGACGGAGCAACGCCGCGUGAGUGAUGACGGCCUUCGGGUUGUAAAGCUCUGUUAAUCGGGACGAAAGGCCUUCUUGCGAAUAGUA
rnacentral:rRNA from 1 species